CCUACGGGAGGCAGCAGUGAGGAAUAUUGGUCAAUGGACGAGAGUCUGAUCCAGCCAAGUAGCGUGAACGAUGAAUGCCCUAUGGGUUGUAAACUUCUUUUAUAAAGGAAUACCACGAGGCACGUGUGCCUUUUUGCAUGUACUUUAUGAAUAAGGAUCGGCUAACUCCGUGCCAGCAGACGCGGUCAUACGGAGGAUCUGAGCGUUAUCCGGAUUUAUUGGGGUUAAAGGGAGCGUAGAUGGGUUGUUAAGUCAGUUGUGAAAGUUUGCGGCUCAACCGUAAAAUUGCAAUUGAUACUGGCAGUCUUGAGUACAGUUGAGGUAGGCGGAAUUCGAGGUGUAGCGGUGAAAUGCUUAGAUAUAAGGAAGAACCCCGAUUGCGAAGGCAGCUUACUAAACUGUGACUGACAUUGAUGCUCGAAAGUGUGGGUAUCAAACAGGAUUAGAUACCCGUGUAGUC
rnacentral:rRNA from 1 species